CCUCGCCGCCGCCCGCCCUGCCCUGGCUCCUGGCCGCCUGCUGCCUCUGCGCCCUCCCGCGGGGCUCAGGGUUCCCGCAGCCUUUCUCUCGCCACCGGGACGGCGUGGAGCUGCCCCCGAACCAGCAACUGGCUCUGUGUUUCAGUCAGUGGAUGGAAAUGUCCGAUCAACCCCAGAUCUCCAGCACUGUUUUGGAUCUCUGUUAUUCCAUAUUCAACAGCAUGCAUAAAAAUAAGGAAUCACAGACUGCUUCUGCAAAGUUUUCAAAGAAGGACAGUCAUGGAACUCUGGGGCGGCCUUUCUUC